UUUUAACAGUGGGGUGGGGAUUCUCCAUCUCUUGAUGUCUUCAAAUGAGGAUUGAUGCCUUACUGAAAGAUAUGUUUUACUCAAACACAAGGUAUUGGGCUC